GUAGUCAUAUGCUUGUCUCAAAGAUUAAGCCAUGCAUGUCUAAGUAUAAGCAACUUGUACUGUGAAACUGCGAAUGGCCCAUUAAAUCAGUUAUCGUUUAUUUGAUAGUACCUUACUACAUGGAUACCUGUGGUAAUUCUAGAGCUAAUACAUGCUAAAAACCCCGACUUCAGGAAGGGGUGUAUUUAUUAGAUAAAAAACCAACGCCCUUCGGGGCUCCUUGGUGAAUCAUAAUAACUUAACGAAUCGCAUGGCCUUGCGCCGGCGAUGGUUCAUUCAAAUUUCUGCCCUAUCAACUUUCGAUGGUAGGAUAGUGGCCUACCAUGGUGGCAACGGGUAACGGGGAAUUAGGGUUCGAUUCCGGAGAGGGAGCCUGAGAAACGGCUACCACAUCCAAGGAAGGCAGCAGGCGCGCAAAUUACCCAAUCCCGAUACGGGGAGGUAGUGACAAUAAAUACUGAUACGGGGCUCUUUUGGGUCUCGUAAUUGGAAUGAGAACAAUUUAAAUCCCUUAACGAGGAACAAUUGGAGGGCAAGUCUGGUGCCAGCAGCC
rnacentral:rRNA from 1 species